AUACGUAGGUGGCAAGCGUUGUCCGGAAUUACUGGGUGUAAAGGGCGUGUAGACGGGAUUGCAAGUCAGAUGUGAAAUCCCCGGGCUUAACCCGGGAACUGCAUUUGAAACUGGCGGGCUUGAGGGCAGGAGAGGAAAGCGGAACUCCCAGUGUAGCGGUGAAAUGCGUAGAUAUUGGGAGGAACACCAGUGGCGAAGGCGGCUUUCUGGACUGUCACUGACGCUGAGGCGCGAAAGCCAGGGGAGCGAACGGGAUUAGAUACCCCGGUAGUCCUGGCUGUAAACGAUGGGUACUAGGUGUUGGGGGUAUCGACCCCUCCAGUGCCGCAGUUAACGCAAUAAGUACCCCGCCUGGGGAGUACGGCCGCAAGGUUGAA
rnacentral:rRNA from 1 species